rnacentral:rRNA from 1 species
GGUUGUCAUGCCAAUGGCACUGCCCGGUAGCUAAAUGCGGAAGAGAUAAGUGCUGAAAGCAUCUAAGCACGAAACUUGCCCCGAGAUGAGUUCUCCCUGAGACCUUGAGUCUCCUGAAGGAACGUUGAAGACGACGACGUUGAUAGGUCGGGUGUGUAAGCGCAGCGAUGCGUUGAGCUAACCGAUACUAAUGAACCGUGAGGCUUAACCUU